AGAGAUGAAGAGCAGAGAGAGAGGAAGUGGGGCCGGGAGGGAGUUCGUGCACGAGAGAGGGAGCAAAGAGAUAAAGAGUGAGAGCCUUUUGAGAAUGAAGGAAGAUCGGCCAUGGCAGUAGCUGCCAUGGCCGACGAUGGAAGCAGCAAUCGCAAGGCAGGCGACCAUGGUCGAGGUGGCCGAAGGCGAUGCAGGCUGGAGCAGCAGCGGCGAGAGGCGUCCGACGAGCCAGUGGGCAGUCGCAGCAAGGCGGCCAGGAGCUCCACCGAUCGGCCAUGGCAGUGUCACGCAGUGGAGGCCGACGCGCAGCGGGCUCGUGGCAGUCAAGGGCGGUGCGGUGCAGUGCGGCCAGCGGUGGCUUGGCGGCGUGAAGCUAAUGGCGAGGGCGAGCUGGUGGCAGCAGCGACCGGCGUGCGCAGCCGAGCUGCUGUGCGCGGGUGCAUGAGAAGAAAGAAGAAGAAGAUGAGCAGAGGAAGGCCGCACGCACGGGAGAGAAGAAGGUGAGCAGUGGAAGAAAAAUAAAAUAAAAGAGAAAAAGAAAAUUAAAAUAAAAAGAAAUAAAAGAAAGGGGAAAUAAGGAAAAAUAGCCAAAAAUUGCAAAAAAAUUAGGGAAAGUUCUGGAAAUUAAUUUGGGGCCCGAGGAGUGUAUUGGAGGUCGAGAAUGAGAUUUGAGCGCAAGAUUUGCAGUCAAGGAGGCAACGCUGGGUGAGCGUUUUCCCGAUGUCUUCUCCAGAAUUAAUCAAGGUUCAACCGAGAAGGCCGUGAUCCUAGAGGAACUUGAGGUUCAGGCUGGAGUUUGUGCCGAGGUAGAGAUGAGGCUUCGAGCCAGAUAAUCAAGACCCAAUGCAAGCAGGGAUGGUGCCGGGAGACUGUUGUGGCAACUAGCAUCGUUGCCCGAGAUGCGCAAUAUUCUCCUAUAUUUUCGUAUAUGUAAUUAUGUGAUUGAAUGUAAGCGAUAUUGAGCACUAGAUAUAUCUAGUUGUUGUAAUAACAAUGUGAUAGAUAAUUAUGAGUU